CAGUCGCCGCGGGAAAACGAAGGGGGCUAGCGUUGCUCGGAAUCACUGGGCGUAAAGGGUGCGUAGGCGGGUUUUUAAGUCAGAGGUGAAAUCCUGGAGCUCAACUCCAGAACUGCCUUUGAUACUGAAAGUCUUGAGUAUGGGAGAGGUGAGUGGGACUGCGAGUGUAGAGGUGAAAUUCGUAGAUAUUCGCAAGAACACCAGUGGCGAAGGCGGCUCACUGGCCCAUAACUGACGCUGAGGCACGAAAGCGUGGGGAGCAAACAGGAUUAGAUACCCCAGUAGUCCCUGUCUCUUAUAA
rnacentral:rRNA from 1 species